rnacentral:snoRNA from 1 species
ACCCUCCAGAUUCCUUACCCCUCAGACCUAAACACUGGUCUGAGUGGCUAGACGGAGGAAAAGUACCAUAUAUACUCGAAUAUAAAGCGACUUAAUAUCAGCCAAGG